rnacentral:lncRNA from 1 species
CCUUAGAAAUUUAUUAACUUUAAUUAAAUUAAUUUAUUGAAUUAAUGUAUAACACAACGAGACACUAAUAAAAAUGACUGCUAGGCUGGAUUGUGCAGAUUUAGGGCCAGCUUGGUUAACAUGCUGAAAGGGAGCUCAGGAUUUCCUGAAACUCCAUGGAGCUGAGCCUCAACCUAGAGGCUAUAGUUAGCACAUAAUUAGAAGUGCUUUCAUCCUUGUCAUUGGUGUGGGAUGCCACGGAUCAUUGAAUGCAGCCCCUGUGAAGGAAGCACCACGAGGGAUUGAACUCUCAGCCUCUAGAGAUCUAAACCACUGAGCCACCCAGAAUUCAAUCCUGUAAAAGAUUAGGCUACAGCUCCCGGAUUCUGAGGAAGUGAGCCUGAUGAAAUGGGGGUUCAGAAGAGAAUCAGCCUCAUUUAAUCUGAGAUUCAGGAAGACACUGUCAAAAAGAAGUCUGUGAUAGAACUUCAAACAUAGGAC